GGGGGUAUAGCUCAGUGGUAUAGUGCAUGCUUACCAUGUGUGAGGUCCUGGGUUCAAUUCCCAGUACCUCUG